GAUGAACGCUGGCGGCGUGCCUAAUACGUGCAAGUCGAGCGAAUGGAUUAAGAGCUUGCUCUUAUGAAGUUAGCGGCGGACGGGUGAGUAACACGUGGGUAACCUGCCCAUAAGACUGGGAUAACUCCGGGAAACCGGGGCUAAUACCGGAUAACAUUUUGAACCGCAUGGUUCGAAAUUGAAAGGCGGCUUCGGCUGUCACUUAUGGAUGGACCCGCGUCGCAUUAGCUAGUUGGUGAGGUAACGGCUCACCAAGGCAACGAUGCGUAGCCGACCUGAGGGGGUGAUCGGCCACACUGGGACUGAGACACGGCUCAGACUCCUACGGGAGGCAGCAGUAGGGAAUCGUCCGCAAUGGACGAAAGUCGGACGGAGCAACGCCGCGUGAGUGAUGAAGGCUUUCGGGUCGUAAAACUCUGUUGUUAGGGAAGAACAAGUGCUAGUUGAAUAAGCUGGCACCUUGACGGUACCUAACCAGAAAGCCACGGCUAACUACGUGCCAGCCGCCGCGGUAA
rnacentral:rRNA from 1 species